CUGGUGAGUAACGCGUGAGGAACCUGCCUUCCAGAGGGGGACAACAGUUGGAAACGACUGCUAAUACCGCAUGAUGUGUUUCGAUGGCAUCAUCGAGACACCAAAGAUUUAUCGCUGGAAGAUGGCCUCGCGUCUGAUUAGCUAGUAGGCGGGGUAACGGCCCACCUAGGCGACGAUCAGUAGCCGGACUGAGAGGUUGACCGGCCACAUUGGGACUGAGACACGGCCCAAACUCCUACGGGAGGCAGCAG
rnacentral:rRNA from 1 species